UGGGGAAUUUUGGACAAUGGGCGAAAGCCUGAUCCAGCAAUGCCGCGUGUGUGAAGAAGGCCUUCGGGUUGUAAAGCACUUUUGUCCGGAAAGAAAUCCUUGGCUCUAAUACAGUCGGGGGAUGACGGUACCGGAAGAAUAAGCACCGGCUAACUACGUGCCAGCAGCCGCGGUAAUACGUAGGGUGCAAGCGUUAAUCGGAAUUACUGGGCGUAAAGCGUGCGCAGGCGGUUUGCUAAGACCGAUGUGAAAUCCCCGGGCUCAACCUGGGAACUGCAUUGGUGACUGGCAGGCUAGAGUAUGGCAGAGGGGGGUAGAAUUCCACGUGUAGCAGUGAAAUGCGUAGAGAUGUGGAGGAAUACCGAUGGCGAAGGCAGCCCCCUGGGCCAAUACUGACGCUCAUGCACGAAAGCGUGGGGAGCAAAACAGGAUUAGAUACCCUGGUAGUCCACGCCCUAAAACGAUGUCAACUAGUUGUUGGGGAUUCAUUUCCUAGUAACGUAGCUAACGCGUGAAGUUGACCGCCNGGGGAGUACGUCGCAAGAUUAAAACUUAAAUGAAUUGACGGGGUC
rnacentral:rRNA from 1 species